ACCGUGNAAAGGUAGCAUAAUCACUUGCCUUUUAAUUGGAGGCUUGUAUGAAUGGUUUGACGAGAGCUAAGCUGUCUCCUUUUUAAUAUUUAAAAAUUAACUUAUAAGUGAAGAGGCUUAUAUAUAUUUGAGGGACAAGAAGACCCUGUUGAGUUUGAGCGUAACCCGAGAUUAAGUAUUAUUUAGUUUUUAAUUAAAUUAAGGAUAAUAAAGUUGUAUAUAGUAGAGGCUAGGUUUUUGGUGAAUCUUUAGUUGGGGCGACUGAGGAACAUAGUAAGCUUCCUUGAAUGUAUUAUGACUAUCAAGUUAGUUUGAUCCAGUUUUUACUGAUUAAAGGAAAAAAUUACCACAGGGAUAACAGCGUAAUCUUUUUGGAGAGUUCUUAUCGAAGAAAGGGUUUGCGACCUCGAUGUUGGACUAAGGUAUCCCAAAGGUGUAGAAGCUUUUGAGGGUUGGUCUGUUCGACCAUUAAAACCUU
rnacentral:rRNA from 1 species